rfam:Hypholoma sublateritium FD-334 SS-4 unplaced genomic scaffold scaffold_24, whole genome shotgun sequence.
GGGCACUUGGCACAGGGGUAGCGCGCUUGCUUUGCAUGUCUCUUGAUUCUGCUUGCACGAGGUCGUGGGUUCAAAUCCCACAGUGUCCA